rnacentral:rRNA from 1 species
ACUGUGAGGUAUGCUGGAGGUAUCAGAAGUGCGAAUGCUGACAUAAGUAACGAUAAAGCGGGUGAAAAGCCCGCUCGCCGGAAGACCAAGGGUUCCUGUCCAACGUUAAUCGGGGCAGGGUGAGUCGACCCCUAAGGCGAGGCCGAAAGGCGUAGUCGAUGGGAAACAGGUUAAUAUUCCUGUACUUGGUGUUACUGCGAAGGGGGGACGGAGAAGGCUAUGUUGGCCGGGCGACGGUUGUCCCGGUUUAAGCGUGUAGGCUGGUUUUCCAGGCAAAUCCGGAAAAUCAAGGCUGAGGCGUGAUGACGAGGCACUACGGUGCUGAAGCGACAAAUGCCCUGCUUCCAGGAAAAGCCUCUAAGCAUCAGGUAACAUCAAAUCGUACCCCAAACCGACACAGGUGGUCAGGUAGAGAAUACCAAGGCGCUUGAGAGAACUCGGGUGAAGGAACUAGGCAAAAUGGUGCCGUAACUUCGGGAGAAGGCACGCUGAUAUGUAGGUGAAGCGACUUGCUCGUGGAGCUGAAAUCAGUCGAAGAUACCAGCUGGCUGCAACUGUUUAUUAAAAACACAGCACUGUGCAAACACGAAAGUGGACGUAUACGGUGUGACGCCUGCCCGGUGCCGGAAGGUUAAUUGAUGGGGUUAGCGGUAACGCGAAGCUCUUGAUCGAAGCCCCGGUAAACGGCGGCCGUAACUAUAACGGUCCUAAGGUAGCGAAAUUCCUUGUCGGGUAAGUUCCGACCUGCACGAAUGGCGUAAUGAUGGCCAGGCUGUCUCCACCCGAGACUCAGUGAAAUUGAACUCGCUGUGAAGAUGCAGUGUACCCGCGGCAAGACGGAAAGACCCCGUGAACCUUUACUAUAGCUUGACACUGAACAUUGAGCCUUGAUGUGUAGGAUAGGUGGGAGGCUUUGAAGUGUGGACGCCAGUCUGCAUGGAGCCGACCUUGAAAUACCACCCUUUAAUGUUUGAUGUUCUAACGUGGGCCCCUUACCGGGGUUGCGGACAGUGUCUGGUGGGUAGUUUGACUGGGGCGGUCUCCUCCUAAAGAGUAACGGAGGAGCACGAAGGUUGGCUAAUCCUGGUCGGACAUCAGGAGGUUAGUGCAAUGGCAUAAGCCAGCUUGACUGCGAGCGUGACGGCGCGAGCAGGUGCGAAAGCAGGUCAUAGUGAUCCGGUGGUUCUGAAUGGAAGGGCCAUCGCUCAACGGAUAAAAGGUACUCCGGGGAUAACAGGCUGAUACCGCCCAAGAGUUCAUAUCGACGGCGGUGUUUGGCACCUCGAUGUCGGCUCAUCACAUCCUGGGGCUGAAGUAGGUCCCAAGGGUAUGGCUGUUCGCCAUUUAAAGUGGUACGCGAGCUGGGUUUAGAACGUCGUGAGACAGUUCGGUCCCUAUCUGCCGUGGGCGCUGGAGAACUGAGGGGGGCUGCUCCUAGUACGAGAGGACCGGAGUGGACGCAUCACUGGUGUUCGGGUUGUCAUGCCAAUGGCACUGCCCGGUAGCUAAAUGCGGAAGAGAUAAGUGCUGAAAGCAUCUAAGCACGAAACUUGCCCCGAGAUGAGUUCUCCCUGACUCCUUGAGAGUCCUGAAGGAACGUUGAAGACGACGACGUUGAUAGGCCGGGUGUGUAAGCGCAGCGAUGCGUUGAGCUAACCGGUACUAAUGAACCGUGAGGCUUAACCUU